ACUCCUACGGGAGGCAGCAGUGGGAAUCUUAGACAAUGGGCGCAAGCCUGAUCUAGCCAUGCCGCGUGAUCGAUGAAGGCCUUAGGUUGUAAAGAUCUUUCAGAUGGGAAGAUAAUGACGGUACCAUCAGAAGAAGCCCCGGCUAACUCCGUGCCAGCAGCCGCGGUAAUACGGAGGGGCGUAGCGUUAUUCGGAAUUACUGGGCGUAAAGCGCACGUAGGCGGAUCAGAAAGUCAGAGGUGAAAUCCCAGGGCUCAACCUUGGAACUGCCUUUGAAACUCCUGGUCUUGAGUUCGAGAGAGGUGAGUGGAAUUCCGAGUGUAGAGGUGAAAUUCGUAGAUAUUCGGAGGAACACCAGUGGCGAAGGCGGCUCACUGGCUCGAUACUGACGCUGAGGUGCGAAAAGCGUGGGGAGCAAAACAGGAUUAGAUACCCUGGUAGGAUAGCGU
rnacentral:rRNA from 1 species